CUGGGAGCAAAGGCAGAAAGGUCUGGGUGUAAGGCAGCGCUCACCAGGCUUUUCUUUUUAAGUGAUUUCAAGCUCACAUCCGGCAGCAUCUAUCCCAGCACAGGGUGUCUGAAGUGACUGCAAAUGUUAGUGAGCAGGCUGGAAGCAGAACUGGAGUCUGCAGAAACACAGCUGAAAGGUGAACAUCUUGUAGCCAUGUUUUCUGGAAAAAAUGAAGAUGUAAUUCCUGCUGACGAAAUUCUGCUUCCCUACUUACUGACACACACAUAAAUGCACGUGUGUCUGCAUUCCCUGCACAGUACAAGUCUAUUCACAAUCUGUUCCUCAAAGAAUGCCCAAUGUAAAUGUAAAAAUGCACAAGACGAAACAAGUGGGAGAGUCAUAAACAAGGAUGGAAGCAAGAAUAAGCCACUUUAAAAGAAGAGAAUAUCCAGCAAUGUAGGCCUUCUUGGGAAGAAUAAAGCAACUUUUCUUGUUGUCAUUAAAAAUGUUCCUAGAACUGAUAUUCAUGAAGUUUUAGCUCAUCCUACUUCAAUGACAUUGAACAAAUUAAUUGGACAAAUAUUUAUCAGGGCUCAGAAAGAUGUUUGAUCCUGAGACAUCCAGGCAUUGAUCCAGCUCAGAAAUGCAUUCCCAGGUCAGCUCCCAGUCACUGCACCAGAACCUGAGCCUACACACUCCAGGAAACUCACUCCACCUGAACAUCACCUACACAAAUUUUGGCUAGAAGGACAAUUUGGAGUGUAAGGACAUGAAUGGUGAUGCUGAGCUUUUUGUGCAAGAAGACAGAAGAAGAAGGAUUACAAUUUUACCAAGCUGCAAGUGGAAGACCUGGAUGUUCUCAGUUAAUAUUCUUCUGGAGGACUCUCAGACAACACUUGUCCCUUUGAAGAGCCUUCAUAUGCACUUGCUUCCUGCUGAGAAGUCAAAAAUCUCCCUGGGAUGAAUAGCUACCACCCAGGCUGUGCCUCAGCUCCUUUGGGGAAGCCAAACUCACAGGGGAAGCCAGGCUUCUUCUUCCGCAGGGUUGUGGCUCUACCAGCAGCUGCAGGGGAAGGGAGCAGUGGAGAAGGCAUGGGUGUUUUCCAGUGCAGGAGCGUUAUUCCAGAACUAUUCCUAAUUCUACUUGGGUAUAACAGACAGGAGCACAAUAGUGCUUUUGGAAGGGUUUGGGCUCUCAUUACGAAACUCCACAAAAUCCAGCAGGUGUGCUCCACCCCUCACCAUUAAGGAUCGGCGAUUUCCACACUUUCUAUUACUUCCUCAUUUAACAUCUCCUCUGUUCUCCCUGUUUACAAGAAAUAUAUCCUUAGUCUGCAUACCCUUGCUACAUUCCCAGUUUCCCAGUUCCCAGCACUUGCCAGAAAACCACUACUCUUACAGAAGUUACCACCUUUAUUUUAGUUUGGAAUGUAUAUAAAGACUGAAAUAAGGCCAUGAAUUUAAUCUGUUCUUCUCAAACAAGUGUUAAUUGACAAAUGAUGAGGGCAUGCAUUUGCAAUACCAUGAUUACAGCUGAUAAUUGUGCAUGUGGGUACAAUUGACUUGUCAGGAUCUGCAAAUAAAACCUGUCAUGACAUCCCAGAAUAACUCCAAACAAUGGCAAAGCCCUACUCAUUUCAAUACCAAGUUUGUUUCAACAUAAGCUUUAUGUAUUAGUUCUGGACUGGAGGCAAAAUUGCAGCUGGAACAAAUGCAUUGUCCCCAAUCAGACCCUUACAAUUUAUCAUUUUUAUUGAGCCAACUUGUUCUUGCCUACUGAGUCUUCAUUGCUUGAGUAAGUCAUAAAAUGCUGUGCAAUAAAAAAAAAAAUCAGUUACCUUGUAUGAUUUCUAAAAAAUUUUCUACUUCCACUCAAAUAUUUUAAAUCCCUCUUCAAUUAUUCAGCCAGCCUAAGCCCUACCAUGAGAGACAUGGAGUGCCACACAUUUCCCAAACUGCUGUUGAUGAAUAAGAUGGAACCUGUCCUUCCAUUUGGCUUGACAAAAAAAGCCCCAAAAAGAAGCUAUGCUGGCAAAUCCAGUCCUCAGAAAGAAAGCAAAAAUUAAUUUCAAGCACUGACUCAAAUCAGUGCUAGAAUCACUCCAGGCUAAUCUCAAAUUUUAAUCCCUUGAUUAUUUUAUAUGAUUUUCUUCUUAUGACUGCUCUGGUUAAGAGGCUCUUUUGGUUCAUCUUGUGUGCUUUAAGUUUCUGACAUAAUUUUAAAUACUUCUUCUCUUGUCAUCAUGCCAGAAUUACCUUUCACACCUUCAUCUUCAGAAUGCUGCCAUUGCAUUAACCAAAACAAGAGAAAAUAAGAGAAAAACAUAUUUUUUUAGCAAGUUUCAAGAAUUCAUCAAAAAAUUGUAGUAAUUAUACCAAUGACAAUAAUUUGCACUUAUUAUUUGCUGGAUAAAAUCCUGCCUCAGUUAUAUCAAGACAUGUUUUGCAUUGUCUUCCAUGGGAUUAUUCCAGAAGCCUUUCAUCCUUCCUCUAAUGACUUCUUCCCAUCUCCCUAUUUACGAGCAAAUCUUUUUAAACAAGACAUACAAACGAGCACU